UUUCCGUAGGUGAACCUGCGGAAGGAUCAUUAUCAAAAGUCAAGUCGGGGGCUGCAAAGCCUUCGUCUACACCCAUGUCUUUUGCGUACUUCUUGUUUCCUCGGUGGCGCAAGCCGCCGAUUGGACAAACCAAAACCUUUUUUGUAAUUGCAAUCAGCGUCUUAUUAUAACAUAAUAAAACUUUCAACAACGGAUCUCUUGGCUCUC
rnacentral:misc_RNA from 1 species